rnacentral:rRNA from 1 species
AUUUAAAUGUAUGUUGCAUAAGCUGGAAACAGCUUUUUCUCUUCGGAGCUAUAUACAAGGUGCUGCAUGGUUGUCGUCAGCUCGUGCCGUGAGNNGUCGGGUUAAGUCCCAUAACGAGCGCAACCCUUACCGUUAGUUGCUAACAUAUAAUGNUGAGCACUCUAUCGNGACUGCCACCGUAAGUUGAGAGUAAGNNGGGGAUGACGUCAAAUCAGCACGGCCCUUACAUCCAGGGCGACACACGUGUUACAAUGGCCAUAACAGCGGGUAGCUACCGGGCGNACCGGAUGCAAAUCUCGAAAAUUGGUCUAAGUUCGGAUUGGAGUCUGCAACCCGACUCCAUGAAGUUGGAUUCGCUAGUAAUCGCGCAUCAGCCAUGGCGCGGUGAAUACGUUCCCGGGCCUUGUACACACCGCCCGU